GCCUUGAUGAGGAAUGGGGUCCAAAUGACUGAAAGGGUGAAGUUGUGAGCUGGAAAGUGCCAUAUUUUGGAUCUAUAUUCCUCGUCGUGAUACACCUCAUCAGCUUGUUCCACCUGAGAGAGAAUGNNAGUAACGACUGCACAUGGUUACGAGAAAUGGAAUCACCAAUAAAAGCCCACGAUUUGUUCCUCAUCAAAUCAAGAAAUAUCUUUGGAUUGAACCUGGGUAGAUCACAUCCCAAUG
rnacentral:misc_RNA from 1 species